rnacentral:lncRNA from 1 species
UGUUGUCAGGGAGGUUUUUGAUCAUUAUAAAAAUAGCAGGGGGAAAAUGGUAUAUGUUAAUUAUUGUAGGGGGGAAAUUGAUAAUCUCCCUAAAAUGUAUUGCCGUUUGUAAUUGUAGUGAAUAAGAAUGUCUUUAUACAUGAAACUAUACAGUGGACCAUGCUUUCUAUAUGUAAUUUUAUUUAUCAAUAUAAUAUAUGAUCGGAGCAUUGUACAAUGUGUCCAAUUCAUGCUGUCCAGUUCUUUUUUGGAGUGUUGUAUAAUGAAAUUCAUAACUCUUCUAAUCAGAUUCGAACAAGCGGUGAGCGACAUCACCUACUAGAUCAAAAUUCAAUAUUAUUGUGCUGUGUAAAAUUAGCCGGUACCUUACAUGAUAUAAAUUAAUUGGUUGUAUAAGAAGGGUCUUCACAAUUAUUUUCACAAUUACUUUCAUUUUAUAACCAAUCAAUCUAUACCAUGUAGGAGUUUGUAUAAAUUUUAUGUCUAUAUCAUUACUAAUAAUCUACCUACCAUUAUUUGCGUUUUCCAAAAAUCGAAUUUAAUGUUAGAUUUUCAUGUCUAAUUGCAAUAAAUUGUUAAAAUAUAAUUAGACCCUCAAAUUUGUAUUUUAAAAUAUGUGAUGGAUGUUUAUAUUAGAGAAUUAGUAACAUAUAAUUAAAUUAAUUAAGACUUUUACUGUAAAUAACUAAUUACAAAAUGUGAAAAAUAUAUCCUGCAAAAUCCUAAAGUUCGUGUAUGAUUGAAGAAUUUUCCUCCUGUCUAUUCGAUGAUUUGUAAUUUGGGUUCCCUUCGGUGCAUCUACUGUCAAUAAAAUGUCAUUAUCAUUAUUUUUUUGGAAAGGAAUUUGCAUUACCUCUUUACUAUAAUUUGUAUUUCAAUUGUUAUCUAUUAUGUAUUUCUUUUGAUGUACCAAGUCAUAAGUUAAUCAUCAAUUCAGCAUUAGCAGUUCAUCAUCAAUUCAGCAUUAUCAGUUUAUAUAUACCGAGUCAAACCGAUUGGCCCUAAAUGUACAUAGAAUAAAAUCCUCUCCUUAUAUGAAUUCUAUUGAGCUUUUAAAAAUUUCAUACUAUGUAUCUUUUAAUGAUAGUAUAUUGAUAAAAUUUAGUUUCUUUAUUUUUUAUUUAUUUAUUAACUACUAAUGAUCAUUUAAAUUAUUUGCUUAGCAUAUGGCUAAAUAGGAGAGAAUCUUGAUCCAUUACACAAGCAUUUAAAAAAAAAAAAAAAAAACCUCACUCUUGGAAUCUCUCUAUGUCAUCUAAACCAUUGGAUGUUGAAAUCAAGCUUUUAUGAUUUGAUUCCAAUCUAUUUUAUGAAUCAUGCUAAGUUAUAUUUUAUAUAACUUACAUCAACAUAUGAGUUGCACCUAAUAACUCAAAUGUUGUUUGAUUGGAUGCAUGUCUUGAGUUAUUGAGUGUAACUCUAAAAUUAGACAUGAUGUGACAUAAUGUAACUUAGGCACACUCUUACUUUAUUAUUAUUAUUAUUAUAAAUAGAGAUGACCAACGGAUAGGGCAACACAAGGCACGGCAUGUGCACAUUUUAGUGGACACACGACAUGGCACGAUACACAUGCAUGUGGGCUAUUGAGUUAAGAAUUUUAGGCCCGUGAGCCUUAAAGGCACAGUAUGAUUAGAGAUGUGGUAAAACAUGACAUGUGAAAAGGUUUGCAAUAAGAAUGCUUUAUAGGUAGGCUAGCACGAAGCUCAUAGCCUAUCAAUAGCAUAUUUUCCAAAGUAUAUUAAAGUAUAAAUUUUUAAUAAAAAUGAAUUUCAAAUUUUAUGAUUUUAUAAAUAACUUGAAUUCAAUCUUUUAUGUAUUUUAUUAGUAUAAUGUUUUUAAAUUCAUUUAAUUGUUAGUUUCAAAAAAAUACUCUAAUUAUUUUAUGUUUAUAAUUUAUUAAAUGAAUAGAUGAUAUCAUGAUUUUAAUAAAUAAAAUUAUAAAUAUAAUGAUUUUAUAAAUAUAUGCAUUAAUGUUAUAAUUGAUUAUGAUAUAUGAUUUCAUGUAAAUCCAAGUUAACAAUUAUGUUACGCCUUAAAAAAAAUUAUUAUUAUUGUUGUUGUUAAAUAUUAAAAUAGAAUUUUAAUAUCGCAUAGUCUAAUUGAGUAGUUAGUAUUAUAUUUUCUUAGUAUUAUUAGUUUAUUGUUAUUGAGCAUGAACUUGGAUAUUGAACUUUUGACUUUAUUGAAUUUGAUUAAAUGGCAUGUGUCUCUAAAAAAGGUACAUGAACUUGAAAAAUACACACCAACAACUUGAUAUGCCCUCUAAAAGAAAUUAAAAAAAAAAAAGAUUGUGUACUUUUCUUUUUUUUUCAUAAAAAUGACUAGGCACGCACGAUAUGUGUGGACUCGGUAAGUGUAUCAUCGGAGUAGACCUAAGCAGAAGAAAUUGAGUGUAACAAAAAACACGCGGUGGGCUAUGCUUGUACCCGUCCACGGGCCUCAACCUGGAUCAUCUCUAAAUAUAAAUAUAAAUGUGGGUACUUAAUCAUCAAAAACUUAUAUCAUCUUCUUUUCUUUGUCUUUUUACAAAUAAACAUGAACUUCAGUCAUCAUAGAGAUUUUUAUUUUUUCCCCAUUCAUCAUAAAGAUAGAGAAUAUAAAAUAAGAUCAAAAUGCAUUUGAUCUAUUACCAUGAAUAAUUAGCAGGGAGGGGGUAAUAAUGAUAUUAGAUUCGAAUAUCUCCAUCCAACUUCAGAGAUCCACCAGGAUUGAAUACUUCUCUGCCGUUUUAAAUAAAAAACCUUUGCCUCUGUUUCUUCACCUCUUCCAUUUAACAAAAUAACAAAUAUCACAUGUGGGCAUUGAUCUAUUACCUUUUUUUUUUUUUUUUUCAUAUCUAGAACCCAAGAGUUUCAAAUCUUUACAAAAUAGGAAUGAAACGAACCCCAAAAAUAAAUAAAUAAAUAAAAAUUGUGAAAGAAGAUUUUCGCCACCAGAGAGGGCAAUUGGGACAAUCAAGUUAUUCAGAUUGUUAAGCUAAUUGAUCCAUGAAGUGCAAAUCCUCAAUCUGUCAAUAAUUCGUUAAUCCUUGAUUUUUGGCGAGUUAACAUGUUGAUUGAAGAACUUAUGCUGCGUUUACUUUUUGGAAUGAAGUGAGAAUCCUGAGGAGUGGGAAUCCUUGGAUUAGGAGUGUGGAGUGGGAGUGAGAGUAUGUUGUUUACUUGCACUAGAAUGGAAGCAUGGAAUAGAGAUCAGAAUCCAAUUUAUGUGUUUACUUUGUCUUGGAUUAGGAGUAAAUAGUUUCAAAUUACAAUUUUAUCCUUAUUUAAAGAAUUAUAGUUUUUAAUUACAAA